AUAUCAAUAAGCGGAGGAAAAGAAACCAACAGGGAUUGCCUUAGUAGCGGCGAGUGAAGCGGCAAGAGCUCAAAUUUGAAAUCUGGUACCUUCGGUGCCCGAGUUGUAAUUUGAAGAAAGUAAUCUUGGAGGUGGCCUUUGUCUAUGUUCCUUGGAACAGGACGUCACAGAGGGUGAGAAUCCCGUGCGAUGAGGUGUCCAUUUCCAUGUAAGAUGCUUUCGAAGAGUCGAGUUGUUUGGGAAUGCAGCUCAAAGUGGGUGGUAAAUUCCAUCUAAAGCUAAAUAUUGGCGAGAGACCGAUAGCGAACAAGUACUGUGAAGGAAAGAUGAAAAGAACUUUGAAAAGAGAGUGAAAAAGUACGUGAAAUUGUUGAAAGGGAAGGGUAUUUGAUCAGACUUGGUAUUUAGUUAUCAUUGCUCCUUGUGGGUGGUGCUCUAACUUUUUACUGGGCCAGCAUCAGUUUUGGUGGUAAGAUAAUGACAGUUGAAUGUGGCUCCUCGGAGUGUUAUAGCUUCUGUUGAUGUUGCCUACCGGGACUGAGGUCUGCGGCUUUGCCUAGGAUGCUGGCGUAAUGAUCCAAUACCGCCCGU
rnacentral:rRNA from 1 species